CUUGUCUACUAUCACAACACUUUAGUACCCACUUCUCCUAAGGAGGCAGCAGAAACCAAGGUAAUCACAAUGGUCAACAGCAGCGAAGGCAGCACUUUCUGAUUUUAAACUUGACUGCUAUGGAUGCCACCUCAGUUUAAUAUCUGUUGAGAGGCCAGAAGUCUGAAAUCAAGGCAUUAGUAGGGCCACAUUCUCUCUGAAAUCUCUAGGGGAGAAUCUUUCCUUGCCUAUUCGAGUUCCUGGUGGUGGCUGGUGUUCCUUGGCGUGCAGCAGCACAAUUCCAAUCAUUGCCUCUGCUCCCCAUGGCCUUCUCUUCUCUCUCUUAUAGGAACAUUUGCCAUUGGACUUAGGACUUGCUUCUGUAAUACUGGAUGAUCUCAUGUCAAGAUCCUUAAACUAAUUACAUCUGCAAAGAGCUUUUUCCCAAAUAUGGUCAUAUUCACAGGUUGGAGUGUGACAGAGACAUAUCUAUUUGGAACCACCGUUCAACCCACUAGUGUGUCUAAGCACUCCGAGAGUUCUGUCAUGUACUUGUAACACACCUGAGAGGAGGGUAUUAUUCCCAUGUUUCAGAAGAUAAAACUGAGGCUCAGAGAGGUGAGAUAACUUGUACCAGUUCAUAUCAUCAGUGAGUGGCUGGACUAGGAUGGAAACUGAGGGCUUCACCACCCAGACAAGAGGGCAGGGGCCAGCCUGUGGAAAGGUAUGGAGGAAUGCAAGCUCGGCCCACGGAGGAGCUGUGAGCAGCGUCAUCCUGCUGCAGUGGUGGGUGUGUGAGGGUGGGAAUGACGGGAGAGGAGGCUGAAGGAGAGCAGGGCAUGUCUUUCAAGACCUUGGACCCAGGCU
rnacentral:antisense_RNA from 1 species